rnacentral:rRNA from 1 species
AGAAUCAACGCUGGCGGCGUGCCUAACACAUGCAAGUCGCACGAGAAAGGGUAGCAAUACCUGAGUAAAGUGGCGCACGGGUGAGUAACACGUGACUAAUCUACCCUCGAGUGGGGAAUAACUGAGAGAAAUCUCAGCUAAUACCGCAUAACACUUACGAGUCAAAGCAGAAAUGCGCUUGGGGGAGGAGGUCGCGGCCGAUUAGCUAGUUGGCGGGGUAAUGGCCCACCAAGGCGAUGAUCGGUA